GGCACAAAUUAUAUGUUAUAGGCCUAUACAAAAAUCAUUACUAAUAAACAUAACUAAACAUCUCCGGCAUCUCUCACCGUAAAUUAUUUGGCUUUUUAAUUCCAACACUGACCAUAUACAAAAAAGUAGCCAGUUAUUUUAUCAUAAUAUUUUGAUAUGAUUAUUAUAAUUUCAAACAACCUGAAUUAUACCCAUAUGAAGUAUCCUAAAUUAGGAGAGAAAUAGAGGAAAUAUGUAAACAGUGAGACAGCGACUCAAAUCUGUUUCCACAGACAAAGGGAGAGAAACAGUCAAGAGAGACUCAUUGAUUGGUCUAAACUCACGAGGGGGCGGAAUGAGAAAUCACCCAAGAUAAGAAAACUAUUAUAACGACCAUCUGUUUAAUAUGCCAAGAGACAAACGCUAAGCGGAAUAAUAGAGGAUAAACGGUAAAGAAGCGCAGUCUUCAACAACCUGAAAAACCUUUGAAUAGCACACAGCAAGGAAAUAAUCUAGACAGGGAGAGAUUUCACCUUCAAAACUUUUAAAAAUAGUCUACUUUUAUUUAAAGAGACUGAAGUUUCAGCGCCAUGACAUUUUUUGUAUUUACUCCAGUGCAUUUUUUCUGUCUCCUCAUUUUUCUUCACGUUUCAUCAACUUCAGAAGUGAACAGCUCAAACAACAAGUCAAUCAGAAAAAUUGAUCGGACCUUUCCUCUGAUUAACGAUUCUAUUCCAGACAAGUAUAAGGAGCAGAUGCAGAGCUACAGCAUUUGCACUAUUAAAUAAAAUAAUACAAAUACAGUAUUUUAUCUGAAACGUUAAAAAUCUUUAUGUACUAUAAUAAAAAAGUGGAGGGGGCUGCAAUGGGUUUUAUUGGCACAGUGGUUAACUAGAAAAAUUAAAAAUGGCACUUCAUAUCCAAAAAGUUGCCGACCCCUGCAGUAAAUGAUUAGUUAUGAUGAGAAAAUGAUGAGAGAAUUUUCAUUUCAUUGUCAAUCUGACUUGAAUAAUUUUCAAGCACAAAGAAAAUAGCAUUCAGUAACUAAUAGUUUUUGAUUGCUUUCUGGGUGGUCCUACGUUGUGAUUGAAUGAAUAAGUCUAUUC
rnacentral:lncRNA from 1 species